rnacentral:rRNA from 1 species
UACGGAGGGGGCUAGCGUUGUUCGGAAUUACUGGGCGUAAAGCGCGCGUAGGCGGACCUGCAAGUCGGGGGUGAAAGCCCGAGGCUCAACUCCAGAACUGCCUUUGAUACUGGGAAGCUCGAGUCCGGGAGAGGUGAGUGGAACUCCGAGUGUAGAGGUGAAAUUCGUAGAUAUUCGGAAGAACACCAGUGGCGAAGGCGGCUCACUGGCCCGGUACUGACGCUGAGGUGCGAAAGCGUGGGGAGCAAACAGG